rnacentral:rRNA from 1 species
GAUGAACGCUAGCGGGAGGCCUAACACAUGCAAGCCGAGCGGUAUUGUUUCUUCGGAAACGAGAGAGCGGCGUACGGGUGCGUAACACGUGUGCAACCUGCCUUUAUCUGGGGGAUAGCCUUUCGAAAGGAAGAUUAAUACUCCAUAAUAUAUUGAACGGCAUCGUUUAAUAUUGAAAGCUCCGGCGGAUAGAGAUGGGCACGCGCAAGAUUAGCUAGUUGGUGAGGUAACGGCUCACCAAGGCGAUGAUCUUUAGGGGGCCUGAGAGGGUGAUCCCCCACACUGGUACUGAGACACGGACCAGACUCCUACGGGAGGCAGCAGUGAGGAAUAUUGGUCAAUGGGUGCAAGCCUGAACCAGCCAUCCCGCGUGAAGGACGACUGCCCUAUGGGUUGUAAACUUCUUUUGUAUAGGGAUAAACCUACCCUCGAGAGGGUAGCUGAAGGUACUAUACGAAUAAGCACCGGCUAACUCCGUG